GUACCAGACGGUGCGUUCGCGCGAUAUCAUGCCGAAAGGUCUUAUCGCGAGGAAAGUCCGGGCUUCAUAGGGCAGGAUAACGGAUAACAUCCGCCGGAGGCGACUCCCGGGAGAGUGCAACAGAGAUAUACCGCCUUUAUACUUAAUGUAUAGAGGUAAGGGUGGAAAGGCGAGGUAAGAGCUCACCUUGCUCUAUGGUAACAUAGAGGAAAUGUAAACCCUAUCCGAAGCAACACCGCAUAAGGGUAAGACAGCAAUGUCGGCGGCGGCCCGCCGUAUACUCUUGGGUGGCACGGGUUUUUACCCGAAGCUUGUCGGUAACGCCAAGCGAAGAUAGAUGAACGCGGUCAAGCUUUAUGCUUUUCACAGAACCCGGCUUACAAGUCUGAUAUAUUU
rnacentral:RNase_P_RNA from 1 species